rnacentral:rRNA from 1 species
UACGUAGGGUGCGAGCGUUAAUCGGAAUUACUGGGCGUAAAGCGUGCGCAGGCGGUUGUGUAAGACAGAUGUGAAAUCCCCGGGCUCAACCUGGGAACUGCAUUUGUGACUGCACAGCUGGAGUGCGGCAGAGGGGGAUGGAAUUCCGCGUGUAGCAGUGAAAUGCGUAGAGAUGUGGAGGAAUACCGAUGGCGAAGGCAGCCCCCUGGGCCAAUACUGACGCUCAUGCACGAAAGCGUGGGGAGCAAACAGG